rnacentral:hammerhead_ribozyme from 1 species
AUUCAGAUGAUGAGUCCCCAAUAGGACGAAACGCGCGUCCUGGAU